AAACAAUGUAUAGGACACUUCCGCAACUAUUCUUUGAAUCUUUCCCACGAUUCAUAUAAGCUUUCAUCAUCAAUAUGCUUGAAUGAAUUUAUAUCAUUUCGAAGCUU